rnacentral:rRNA from 1 species
CGCUGGCGGCCGUGCCUAACACAUGCAAGUCGAACGCGAACGGGUCUUCGGACCCUAGUAGAGUGGCGCACGGGUGAGUAACACGUGGGCAAUCUACCCAGGGAUUUGGGAUAACCAGGGGAAACCCUGGCUAAUACCGAAUACGUCCAUGAGGCCUUCGGGUCCUCAUGGAGAAAGGUGGCCUCUUCCUCGAAAGCUACCACCGAAGGACUGAGCCUGCGUCCCAUCAGCUAGUUGGUAAGGUAAUGGCUUACCAAGGCGAAGACGGGUAGCUGGUUUGAGAGAAUGAUCAGCCACACUGGCACUGGAACACGGGCCAGACUCCUACGGGAGGCAGCAGUGAGGAAUAUUCGGGCAAUGGGCGAAAGCCUGACCCAGCCACGCCGCGUGAGUGAUGAAGGGCCCUCGGGUCGUAAAGCUCUGUGGAGAGGGACGAAAACCCUGGUUUCAAAUAGGCUCCAGGCUUGACGGUACCUCUUUAGCAAGCACCGGCUAACUCUGUG